ensembl:lncRNA
GAGAGAGACAGGCAGAGACAGAGAGAGACAGGCAGAUGGGCAGAGACAGGCAGAUGGGCAGAGACAGGCAGAGAGAGAGAGACAGGCAGAGAGAAAGGGAGAGAGACAGGCAGAGACAGAGGGGAGAGAGAUACAGGCAGAGAGAGAGAGAGAGACAGGCAGAGAGACAGGCAAAGAGAGAGAGACAGGCAGAGAGAGAGAGAGAGACAGGCAGAGAGAGAGAGACAGGCAGAGAGAGAGAGAGAGAGAGACAGGCAGAGAGAGAGAGAGACAGGCAGAGACAGAGAGAGAGACAGGCAGAGACAGAGACAGAGAGACAGGCAGAGCAGGCAGAGACAGAGGGAGAGAGAGACAGGCAGAGACAGAGAGAGACAGGAAGAUGGGCAGAGACAGGCAGAGAGAGACAGAGAGAGAGAGACAGAGGCAGG